UACGAAGGGGGCUAGCGUUGUUCGGAAUCACUGGGCGUAAAGCGCACGCAGGCGGAUCGUUAAGUCAGGGGUGAAAUGCCGAGGCUCAACCUCGGAACUGCCUUUGAUACUGGCGAUCUUAGAGUCCGGGAGAGGUGAGUGGAACUCCGAGUGUAGAGGUGAAAUUCGUAGAUAUUCGGAAGAACACCUAUGGCGAAGGCAGCUCUCUGGGACGGUACUGACGCUGAGACGCGAAAGCGUGGGGAGCGAACAGG
rnacentral:rRNA from 1 species